rnacentral:lncRNA from 1 species
UCCCAUUUUAGAGAAACAACUUAUAAUCACAUUCUCAGGUCCUUUGGGGAUCUAGAGUGGUGGGAUCAUGUUGCCCAUGAAGCUACGUUGGAGCUAAUAGGAGUGCUCCCUGUUGAGAAGGAGAUUUCAAAGUGAAGAAACAGAUUGAAAGAGCCUCUACCACUUCAGCAUAGCCUGCUCCAUCUCAACCUUAUUCAUGUCAGUAUAAUAGGUUAUUAUUAAAGGCUUCCUGAAGCUUAUGGUCUAUUUGAGAACGAUGAGGUAUUCACCGCCUGCCAAUCAUGCUCUUCACAAUUAGGAAGUUUAUGCCUCAGUUAAUGGUUUUUCUUUUCCUCUUGAUGUAACAAGAGAAUUUAUUCUGAUGAUGUAAACCUAGAGAUACUACUGGUAGCCAUUUUUAUCACCAAGUGAUAACAGAGAUGGCCUGAGAAUGAAGCCAAGAAAGAGCACCACAGAACUAAGAGAAAGAACAGCUUGUGGAUACCUGAACAUGUGGAAGUUCCUGGAGGGUGGUGCACCCAGGAACUUGCACAUGUUCCAAGCAAGAGAAAGCAUGGAAACUCUGCACCCCUUCCCCUCAUUCCUCACCCUAGUAUCUCUUCAUCUGUAUCCUUUGCAAUAUCCUUUAUAAU